AACAAGGCCAAGAUUUUGCCCGAUGUUUUAAAUGAUUUAAGUUUGUCGGACGAUGUCAAUGGAACAUUGAAGUCUUUUUAGCAUCUAUGUCCAUAUAAAGAAACGUAAAUGUGUCAAAAAGCAGCUUCUUUUAUAAUUUGGUGUCGUAUGAAAACUCCCAACAAAUAACACAUGCAAUUUGUUUUUAUUUCUUGGGUUUUAUUAUAGUUUAAAACUGUAGAAAAUAACCUAAGUAGAUAUUAAACAAUCAAUAAGGAUAUUUUUAAUGUAAGUAAAUAAAAGUAAUUAACGAAAACAAGGGAUAUUUCUUUCUUGGCAUGAAAUUGACGUACACUGUGAUCUUGUCAUAUCUAAAGCGCGGUGUUGCCAAACUGUUGCAUGUAACCUUGUUUAUCAUAGAUUCGGUUCGCUUCUCGUGGUGUGGUUUAUUGUAUUUGUCCUUACUUAAUGGUUGAUUUACAAGGACACAAGAAAUACCAACACGUGAUAAACUGCGCCCAGCCGGCUCGGAGAAAAUCGCGGGUGUUCGAAAGCAACUCGAAGAAGAAUAGAAGAACGAAGCAACCUCCCAAGACCGUUUUCGAUAAAAUAGUGAAAGGGAAGUACGGAGUGGGUUUGGCGGAUUCGAAAAUGGAGUCUUCGAAGACGGUUUUGUCCGGUGGUGGUUCGAAGGCGCAACGUUGCAAAACGACCAUAGUGCCGAUUUUUCUGGAAAAAAUCAAACAAAAGCGGAUAUCCAACGACGAAACGACUGAAAAUAACGUAUCCGAUGACAGAACGAAGCUGAAAGAUUCCCAAACCAUCGGCCCACCAUUGACUACGCCCGAAUUAAAAAGCAGCCCGAAAAAUGCCCUGAAAACGACCGUGACACUGUACCCGAGGAAAAACGCUCGCUUGCCCCCGAAAAGCCGCUCCCAAUUGUUGAUGGCUGAGCAGUCCAAGGCGAAAAAAACCUCAAACGCGCCGCCAAAAGUCAAGGCCAACGUCGCACCGAGACGGGCGGCUCAACCGGCAACGCUGUACCCGGACUUCGGCGCGAAGAAAUUCGAUUUGGAAAGUAUGCUGCGCGAAGCCGAUCGAAAUCUGGAAAGGAAACAUACGAUAGAGGCGUUUUUAAUAAAGAAGAAAACCAAAGACACCACGAAGCAGGGCGGAUCGUCCUUGUUUCACAAAGUGAAAAUCGGAAGCCUGGCCAAGCUUCAAACGAAACCAGCCAAAAACGAACCCCAUAGGGUUUACUUACUAAAGGAAACUGUCAAACCGAGACCCAAAAACGGCCAAAGUGGAACGUACCAGAUUGUGUCCAACGCUCUCAAGAGUCGCGAUUCAAAAGCCAAGGCGAGGUUUAGCGGUUCGAAGGUGCCCAAAACGCCAAAGAAGAAGCAGAUAUCUGGCGUCGUUACGACGAAAUGCGAUAACGUAGAAGAUCCCCACAUAAAAUUCAUAGUGGAUAAUCACAGGAAAUCCCAAGCGAUUUCGUUCGUACAACAUUUGGGUAAAACUAAACCGACCAAUGUGGGCGCAUGUGUCAUUACGCCGUUAUUAUUUCGUAGACCGACGUAGAUUGUGAUCAUCGACUUUAUAACCCAGUCAUUUUCACAUCGCCGCAACCGUUCGCAUAGUUGGAUCGAUAUCUCCUGCGAUUGCCAAAAACGACACCAGAAGGAUACAGGG